GUAUUAGCUACAAGGCCUCGCAUAAUCUCGCUCCUACGCGGUGUUGUGACAUAAUCCCAUGUACCACCGUCUAGGUGCCACAGGAGACUUUCUGACGCUCACAUACAAGCCCUUUCCUACCUCAGGACCCUUGCACGUACCGUCCCUCUGCUUGGAAUGCUAGUCCUGCAGACCACGUAUCAGUGGCCGGGGCCUCCUUGAAUUUCUGUACGCUCAUAAUUUCUCCAGAUGCCUUCUCCCAGCCCCUUCUUUUUCAUUAUCUGCUUUCGCUUUUCAUAGCAUCGCCACAACCUGAUCUAUCUUUACCUUUUAAAUUGUUUAUUGCCCAUUUGCCCUAAAAACGUAAGCUCCUUGUCAAACAUGUUUGCGUAUCCCCAGGAUCCCGGCACAAUGUCUUGCGUACAGCAGGUGCUAAAUAAAUAAUCUCUGACUUUGUUUUUGACUCUGUGAGUUUACACAUAGGUGACCCACUUUGGGUUGCGAUCACCUUUGAUUUAUAGGCAGCUGAAUCUUGCUUAUUUCCGGUUGCCAAGGGUUGCCUUCCUUGGCGUGACAGCACCAAAGCAUUUGUCGUCUUGUGCAGCAUGAGUGGGAAGCUGAAAUGUCAGGUGACACCAGAGAAAGGAUCAGUCAUGGCAGCUCCUUGGACAUAGACACAUAUUAAACAUUCAGGGCGUCAGUAGAGGGCUGGCUCGGAGAGGAUUCCAUCGUUAACACAUGACAAGUUGGGGUUUGCAGUCAAAGUCCACUUAGCAAAUGUUUAUUCUACCACGCACUUUUCUUUUGUUUCCUGUAAGUAUAGCUUCCCCCCCCUUCCAGGAUUUGAGGUCAGAGAAACACGAGGAGGCUAUUAACAUAUCAAUGGAGGGAUCGCUUCGGAAUCUAGAAUUGGGAAUAAUAUUUGCAUCUCGAGCUCAGAAGCCGCCCAGGCAAGCCUGCUCAUUGAUGGCCUUUAAUUUCCCCUUAAAACAGUGCCUGUUUCCGAAUAAAAGAUUAAUACAGGAGGAGAGCUCCGUUUGUCGCGUGAUUUAUACUCAAAUGCUGCCUCCUUUCCUUUCAGGAGCACGAUGCAUACGCGACCCCACCCCUGAGCCGCUUGCAUUCAGUUCCUCCAGAAAGAUAGCUGCUGGUCACCAAAGCCUGCCGCUUAAUUGAAUUUGUCUUUGUCCCCUUGAUCUUCACGCUGACAAAAAUGUGGGGUGGGUGGGAUGUAUCCAGAAAAACCAGACCUGAAAAACACAGCCGAUCGCUAGGAGACGGAGCUGAGGAAAGAGAUACAAAGUGCACUUCACAAAAUGAAACUCAGGGAUGCCAUUUGGAAGGUUGGGUGGUGUUUAUGCAUCAGUCUACAAAAUGAGAUUCUGAAAAUCCUUCUCCAUAAAGUGAAUUGUCUUUACCCCUGACGCUUCUCCUGAGACCUCUUAUUCGGUUAAAGCAACCCACCAGUUUGCCUGAAAGCUGUUUACACCGGGAAAUGUUAAGGGUAAGCCGGCCACACGCUUGUAUGAUAGCCCUUCCUGCCAAGUGCCCAGCCCAUGUUGGGAGGGCUUGCAUUGCCUGUUAGCAAGAGGACCUGUCUCUGGAAAUGGUAGCUUUCUCUCGAUCGGCAUGAAAGGCCUGCUUGGCUCUUUUCAAGUUGCUCAAAUUCCUAGUAGGGCUCUGGUCCUGAUUUCUUCCACUUGCUUUUCAAAAUUGCAGGUGACUUCUCUCCCGGGUGCCUUGGUUGGUUACGUCUGCCGUAGGACGUCCAUCGUGCCUGAAUCAAGCUUCUUCACUCUGCUUCCCGGGGCCAUUUCCCUGCAACUUGCUUGCAUGCUAAUUUCCAGUGGAACACUUUUUUUUUUUUUAAAUGCGUGUGACUCAGGACUCAGGCUCAGUGCAGCACUUAGGUGUGCGUGAGGGAAUGCUAAAACGUUCUGGCCAGAGGAGAACAGCAUGGCCACGAAGAAGCUGAGAUCAUAUGCUGGGCUCAGAUCAUGGUGUGUGUGUGUGUGUGUGUGUGUGUGUGUGUGUUGGAUGGCUACAAAUUUAUCUGGGGACUUGUGGAAAAAGGUAUUAAAACAAAUAGCCUCACAAGGAAUUACUGCCGUGCAGGGCAGUGUUACAUAGAUUGGUGAAUCUUUAUGUAUUUUGACAUGUGUCAGUCUUGCUGGCUUUGGCUAUGACCUACAUUAGGCACUGACUCAAGGUUCUUCAGGGAGAUGCAUUAACCUACCGAGUCAGAAGGCAUGAUGGUUGAGAUGGGCCAGCCAGCUAUGACCCACGGGCCGAAUCCCAUUUACGUCCAGUUUAGUAACUUAAUGGUCAUGUGGGGGCUGCAUAUUUGAGCAGGAUUUUGCCAGGCAGGUUGGGGAGGAAGAACACCCUCGCAUGGGUUGGCAGACUACAGUCUGAGGGCCAAAUGAGGCAUACCGCCUGUGUUUGUAAAUAAAGUUUUAUGUGAACACAGUCAGACCCCUUUGUUAAAGUAUUGCCUACAACUGCUUUCGCUCUGCAAAGGCAGAGACCGUAUGGUCCCCCAAGCCUAAAAUAUUUGCUGUCUGGCCCUUUACAGGAAAAACUGACCCUGCCCACCGCUAGGGUUGGGAUUAAGCACUGAAGCUAUGAAUCAACAGCUUGCCUUCCAAUCUCAAGGUUACUUGUUUCUGUGUAACCUUGGUUACAUACCUAUAAAAUGGAAAUAUGCAUAUUCCUGGGUUGCUGUGAGAAGUAAAUUCAAUAAUUAUCAUGAUUCAUUUUAAUGAAAGACUUCCAGAGUUUUUCCCAUAUCCUUGAUGCCCUGGAUUAUAAUCAUGCUGGAUCUUUUCUGUCGUUAUAAAAUUUAAACGUCAAAAAUAUUUGAGGAAUUUGGGCUGCCACCCUUCUCAUUCCAGGAAUAAAAGUUCCCGAAGUGCU